UAUGCAAAUGCAUGUUGCAAUAUCAAGUUCUGACUUGAUGCUAUAGAUCUAGAGGGUAAUAGUAUUCGUGUGAGGAAGCGACGACUUCUGGAAGAUUCCGAAGACAAGAUGAAGGUUCAUCGGAGAAAUGAAGUAAAGUUGUGGGAAGUAACCACAAUACUCUGAAAGAAGUACAAUCAGAAACUCAUGCUUACCUCAACAGAGGAGUACUUUAGUACAGAAGAAGCAUGAAGGUGAGAAAUAUGAUGAUUAUGGUGAAGCUCAAGCAGAUCCAUAGUCAUUAAGGAAGAGGGAAUGCAUGGGAAAUCACCUAGGAUACUAUAUUCCUAGUGUCAGCUAGUGGUUUUCUUGCAAAAUAAACCCUGAAUGAAGGUAAAUGAUAUAUGAAAUCAUAGCAGAUAUAAGAAGACCACAGUUGGUAUCAGAAGACCACAGUUGGUAUAGGAUCAAUACUGGAAGAUAGAGUAGAAGAUGUCUCGUCCACUUGAUCAGAACCUAUAAUAGAAUCCAUUUUUAGAUAACCAAUAGCCACAAUUGGUAUCAAAUAGUCCACCAUUGGAUUAUUUGUACCAAGAAGUUGUGAACAAAUAAAAUUUUGUUAGCCAAAUAAUUAUGAUCUAUAAUCAUUUAGUCGAAGGAUUCACAUUGGAUGUCCAUAAUUGAGUGGAUACACCACAAGGAUUCUUCACGAGACCUUAGAAGAAUAUAAACCAUAAGCUACACCUAGACCAAUAUUCUAACCAUAAGUCCAAUAGUUGGAAGAAAAGGAGUUGAAGACAUAAGAAAACUCUAAGGGGUAGAGUAAAGAUUGAGUUGAAUGUACAAUGACUCUAUACUUUAGGCUAUAUAGAAGCAGGUGGUCUGAACUGAGAGGAAGUUCGAUCUUAUUUUCAUAAGAUUGUUGAACACUACUUUCAGAAGGAUGUCAGACCAGAAGCCGAGGUUCAUACCUCGAGGAAGUAAGAAGUGGACUUUAACUUGAGAAAAUGAGUAAGAUUUACUCAGAAGUACGGAAGCUCAAGUAAGCUAAGUUUAAUGAAGUUGGACGAAGGAAAUACCGUAGACCAAACAAAGCUUGAAAAAGGCCAAAGACCGAAGAAGUUUUACCAUACCAGAACCAUAGACUAAUAGAAUGAUUCCUUCAUGGAACCUAAAGAACCCCAAAUAGUUAUAGGUAUCAACUAUAAAUCAUGAUUGAAUGGACUAAAUGAGUCUAAUCCAUUCUUAGAGGAAUAAACCACCAUGACCAAUUCCAUAGUAAGUACCUUACCAAGUACCAAUAUUGCAGUUUUGGUAGUAAGGGAAAAACAAAGACCUAUUUUAUCAAAUAGGAGAAUGUUAUCCAAUUAGUCCUCAAUUAAGACUGUCAGGACAAGAAGAAGUCCCAAUCAUUGAAUAUUCAAUGAGAAAGGAAACAAGAAAAUGAUAUUGAAAGAAAUCAUGGAAUUGAAGUAAGGAGCCAUGGUUUAGAGAUAAACCAUAAUGGAUUUCAGGAAGAAUCUGGACAAGGGAUAUAUUCAAUUAUAUCCAGUAAGAUCAAUACGGAGUCCGAGAAAAGUCGUAGCCUGCACAAGUCAGAACCACACUUCGGAAACGUGAGAGAGUUCAAACUUCGAGGACGAAGUUUAGUUUAAGGGGUAGAGACUGUAAUAUCCCAGGUAAUGGGGUUACAAAAAUAGAGGAAACAGAUGUGUGCAUUGCAUUCAUGCAUAGAAAAUCCGGUGAAUUUUCGCGCUUUUGUGUAAAACUAUCAAAGUGAUCGAGGUUUCUCUCGCAUCGGUGGAAUUGAGUUAGUCAUUGAUGUGAGUGUGACAAAUUUCGACAUGAUCUUUAUUAAUUUACUAGGUUUUCAAGGGAAUUAGUUUGAAUUCAAAUUCAAAUAUGACAGACAUAAGUUCAAAUAAUAAUUUGAAUUGGAAUUUGAAAUCUAAACAAGCAUAUAGAUAUAAUAUGUACAAGUAACUACACUUGGUAGUUCCAAAUAAAUAAAUGAUUUAAAAUUCAUUACAAAUAAUAUUAUUCAGUAACUUACAAGUUAGGAAGGAAAUACAAAAUUACAAAGGAAUAAAAAAAAAGGAAUUCCUAAACUAAAUCUUCAUCUUCCAAAUCUCUCCCAAUCUUUUUAUUAUCAUUUUCCUGCAAUAAGAGAAACAAAACCAAGACAAGAAAGUAUUGGGUUAUGGUUAUAAUGUUGCCAUCAUAUGAAAUGAGGCAUUUUAAUCUUGGAACUCACUACUAGACAUCAGGAACUUGUCCUAAUAUCUAAAUUGUUGUUAGAGGGAUCAAUUUUAAUCUAUAGCAACUUUGUUGAUCAUGUAUCAACUCUGGAUCAUUUUAUAUCAUAAGGCAACAAUGAGAAAAUAGGCAACAGGGACAAGUGACACCAUUUGAUCCAUAUCAAAAGGGGAUCAGGGCAACAAUAUGUGAUCCACUUCUCUUAGGUAACAAAAUAUAUUAUCAAUCCCUCUAACUUAGUUAAGUUCCUAUUUAAACCAAACCCACAAAUGCAUAUAAAGGAACCAUGUCUGACAUGGAUGAGUCAGCAUGAUCCUAAGUCAACCUGAGUAAUUUCCACUUGGCAGUGCCAAAAAUAAAGGCUAACAGGGGAUAAGAACAAACCAGUAGUGCCUUGCACCUGAGGCAAACAAAGCCAACUUGCUCACCUACAGUAGUGAUAGAAGCACACAGGCAGCUCACACAUAGUGUGUGUUGUCACUCCCACAGCCAACGCCAACAGUAGUAUAUAAGAGGAAUAACAGCAGCUGUACCAAGCAGCUCUUCUAGUACAUCUCACACUUUCAGCCGCAACACACACACCACACUUUGGCAUAGCUAUAGAACAGCAAGAAACCAAGAUCAACAACAUGAAGCCAAUCCAGAAGCUAGGAGAAGGUAAUGACCCAAAGAAUAGGUGGACCAGAUUCCAGAAGAACAAGCCAUCAGACUCCACAGUCUAGCAGAUAUGGAGGCAUCGAAGGAGGAUCUACAGUGCACUCGAAGAACGAGGAGUCAACAACUACUUCAAGAUACAGGAACCUGUCAGAGGAGUCAAAUACCACAUCCAACAAGGAGAAAACCUAGUUUAGCCAUAGAAGGGAACUAGCUUCCUAAACCUAGCUCCUAUUUAGCUAGAGUCUAUUCUUAGCCUCUGUAGUUAGUGAAAUACUCUACAAAUAGAGUUCGUGAUAGGCUUAGAUCACGAGUCGUUCUUCCGGGAGUUUAUUUGCAGCUUUACCUCAUUGUAAAGUAGGAGGCUGUGUGGAUCUUUUGUAAAGAGUCGAUGUUGUAAUUCUAUAGACAUGCCUUGGACCCGCAUAUGUUUCUGUUGUACCACUCUGAGCGAUAUAAUACGAGUGGAACUGUGUUUCA